rnacentral:rRNA from 1 species
AUUGAACGCUGGCGGCAGGCCUAACACAUGCAAGUCGAACGGUAACAGGAAGCAGCUUGCUGCUUCGCUGACGAGUGGCGGACGGGUGAGUAAUGUCUGGGAAGCUGCCUGAUGGAGGGGGAUAACUACUGGAAACGGCAGCUAAUACCGCAUAAUGUCGCAAGACCAAAGAGGGGGACCUUCGGGCCUCUUGCCAUCGGAUGUGCCCAGAUGGGAUUAGCUUGUUGGUGGGGUAACGGCUCACCAAGGCGACGAUCCCUAGCUGGUCUGAGAGGAUGACCAGCCACACUGGAACUGAGACACGGUCCAGACUCCUACGGGAGGCAGCAGUGGGGAAUAUUGCACAAUGGGCGCAAGCCUGAUGCAGCCAUGCCGCGUGUAUGAAGAAGGCCUUCGGGUUGUAAAGUACUUUCAGCGGGGAGGAAGGGAGUAAAGUUAAUACCUUUGCUCAUUGACGUUACCCGCAGAAGAAGCACCGGCUAACUCCGUG